UACGGAGGGUGCAAGCGUUAUCCGGAUUCACUGGGUUUAAAGGGUGCGUAGGUGGGGUGGUAAGUCAGUGGUGAAAUCCCCGAGCUUAACUUGGGAACUGCCAUUGAUACUAUCAGUCUUGAAUACCGUGGAGGUCAGCGGAAUAUGUCAUGUAGCGGUGAAAUGCUUAGAUAUGACAUAGAACACCAAUUGCGAAGGCAGCUGGCUACUCGGAUAUUGACACUGAGGCACGAAAGCGUGGGGAGCAAACAGG
rnacentral:rRNA from 1 species